AUUGAACGCUGGCGGCAGGCCUAACACAUGCAAGUCGAACGAGUGGCGGACGGGUGAGUUAUGUCUGGGCAUCUGCCUGAUGGAUGGGGUUAACUACUGGACACGGUUGCUAAUACCGCAUACCAUCGGAUGUGCCCAGAUGGGAUUAGCUAGUAGGUGGGGUAAAGGCUCACCAAGGCGACGAUCCCUAGCUGGUCUGAGAGGAUGACCAGCCACACUGGAACUGAGACACGGUCCAGACUCCUACGGGAGGCAGCAGUGGGGAAUAUUGGACAAUGGGCGAAAGCCUGAUCCAGCCAUGCCGCGUGUAGGAAGAAGGUCUUCGGGUUGUAAAGUACUUUCAGUGGGGAGGCGUUACCCGCAGAAGAAGCACCGGCUAACUCCGUGCCAGCAGCCGCGGUAAUUC
rnacentral:rRNA from 1 species